UACGUAGGGGGCAAGCGUUGUCCGGAUUUAUUGGGCGUAAAGAGCGUGUAGGCGGCUUGGUAGGUCCGCUGUGAAAACUCGAGGCUCAACCUCGAGACGCCGGUGGAAACCAUCAGGCUAGAGUCCGGAAGAGGAGAGUGGAAUUCCUGGUGUAGCGGUGAAAUGCGCAGAUAUCAGGAAGAACACCGGUGGCGAAGGCGGGUCUCUGGGCCGAUACUGACGCUGAGGAGCGAAAGCGUGGGGAGCGAACAGG
rnacentral:rRNA from 1 species